CUUUGUUCCAGGAAAACUUAUUGAGUACAAGGUCAGAUUGAUUAUUUCGUAUCAAGAAUGGUCCCAACUCCUGAGCAGCACCAUAAGCAACCGGUGAACAACCCGGUCCUCCACUGAGC